AAUUCCGUUUACGAUCCAUUACUGCUUUUUGUGCACUGCUGAGACGUAAAAGUCACACGCGCCAUGUGAUGGUUAAAGAGCGAGAGAAGUUUUGCGCUUAGAACUCUUUUCGCUUGAGAAAAUUGUCUUCUGUCCGUUACGUGCGUCAAGAGUGGCGUUUUAAAGCGCUAGGAAAGAAUUGAAGGGGCGACGUUUCGAGUUUCGUGUAAAAUAUGCAUACGGAAAAAAAAAAUAAUUUAAGAAAAUUGGAAAAGGAUAUAAUCGCGAAUACAGUGGAAAUUAGAAAACAAAUUAAUCGUUUGUGAACUUUUUUUUCUAUAUAUUUUUUAUUAUUAAUAUGUUGGAAGUUAAAAUUAACUUAAAAAAACAAUGGACAAUAAGUAAUUUUUUCUCGAAUAUCUUUGCAAAUAAAUGCUUAAAUAUAAACAGAAAAUAAGUCUUUAAUUUUACAACUAUUUGAACUAUUUAUUCUUUCAGAAUUUUUCCACCGUUUAUAACAAUUAUCUAUUACUUAAUAAUCUAUCACAGAAUAUUGCAAAAAUAAAUAUAAAUAAUUUAAGACCCGGUUAAUAAUUUUCAACUAUUUCUGUCGAUAAUGAUACUUUUUAGUAAUAAUUCUCAAGCGAUUGAUCAGUUGGCCAUGGGUCAUUAACACACCCCGUCUAUUUAUUUCCACGAGCGUUGUACGCCCUAAAAAUUCGCGCCGUUAUUUUUAAAACGUUCAACUCGAUAAGACGAGCCGUGCGUGAAUUAUUAUGUAACAAGGGGUGGAAGAUGUCGAUUAAUUAUAAGUCGUAGAAUAUAUCGGGCAACGCUUAUGCACGGAGCGGUCGAGGCUUGACAUUAAUGACGCAAACAGCCCCCCUACUUAGGGGUGGAAACCGUUUUGAUUACAUUUACGCCGCAUUAGUGACAGCUUUACCCUGUUAUGCGAAGGGAAAAGACAAUCCGACGUCUUUUCGUUCUUACGAACUCGUUAAAACUUGUUUAUAGAAUUUUAGAAAAUUCUUGAUUUUUGCCGAAUCGAUAUCAUGGAAGGUUCUGUGUAAAUAAAAGUGUAGAUAAUUAUUAUAUCUAAUUUUCGUUGAGUCAGCCAGUUUUUUAUGAAAAUUGAUAGAAACUCGCUCUCUGUAUAAUUUUCUCUUGCAAUCUUUACAAUAUUAAGUCGAUAUCAUUAAGUCGCAAGAAAAAUCUCUUCUUUCGACGCGGAUAUUUAAAUUUAAACACUCUCGUGAUCAAACUAUUAACAUUUUAUAUAAAUCAACACUAAUCUAAUCUAUCUAAUCUUAAUACUAUCAAAAUAAUCAUUAUUAAAAUCGAACUAAACUAAACCAGCCAGAAAAAUCUUCAUCCCUCCACUCAACGAACUAAUAAUUUAAUUUAAUUACCUAAUCGAAAACCCUAAUCUCUUCGUCAAAACAGUUUGGAAUCAACCACCUUGGCACAACAACUUCAUAAAUUUCUCUAUCCGACACAGAUCCACAGAUACCUGAUCAAACGUGUCUAUUAACUCUGUAAUGUUGUAUCUGAUCUUAUCGCUUGGCCGCAAAUCCGACCGACCUGAUCAAUUAAUAAAUUACAAAUUUCCAGUUUCCAAUCGAGUCACGUUUUCAAAUAAACCCCGGAAAUCGCAGCGACCUCCAACCAGUUCCCCAUCCCAUCGACUGACACUGGAAUUCUUGGAGCCGCGGCAUCGCGAUUUCUCUAUCACGAAACACGAGGACGAUUCGUACGUGGCCGGCCAGGUUGUAAAUCAUCCUUGCUGUCAAGGGGGAGAUCCACGAGAGCGCGUUAGACCGUGCAACUUGGAAUUUCAAAUCGCGAUUUCUUGCCGGCCGGCCCUCCAGGGCGUCCUCGAUCCAACGAUAAAUCAAAGGAUGCCGCUUAUUAGACUCGUGACAAAGUUUCGAGACGCGUUCUCUUCUUUGGAGAGAACGCAGGCAAAUUCGAUCGUUCGAUUCGUGUUCGAUCGAGACGCGGACUUAUCCAGAGAAAGAUUGACGCGGUGAAUUGAAUGAAAUGAAAGGGAUAUUGGGGUGGAUAUUAUUGGUGAUGAUUGGGGGAAGAUGGCACGAGUAAUGGAAAGAUCGGUGGAUGUUCGAUUUUGGAAAUAUUUUUUAAUAUCGCGUGAUUUUUAGGAUCGACGAAGGGAUCGAUUUUCGAGGGAUAACUGCAAGUUGUGGUAAUGGAGAUUGGAAUAAAUGAUUUUUGGGAAUUUUUAAAUUGUGAUUGUAAGAAUUGUAAGAAGUUCGUAAGUCGAUUUUUUUGUUGAAUUUUGAUACGAUCUUAAGGAUUGAUUGAAAGAUAUUAUUAUCGAUUAUGGCGUUAUGAAAAUUGUAAGAAAUAUUCGAAUAUUUUUGGGAAUUUUUAGAUGUUAAUAAUUUUUUAUUAAAUUUUGAUAUAAUUUUAAGGAUCGAUCGAGAGAUGUCAUCAGUUGUAAAAUAAUUGAAAGAAGUUUGAGCGUUUUUAGAUAUGAUACGAUCUCGCGGAUCUUGAUGAUGAAGUUUACGAUUGAUUUUCAAGUUAAAUCUAGACAGAGGUUCAUGAAUUACUCGAAGAUCAUAAAUUCUACACGAAGACUGGCGCGACCUAUAUGCGGCUAAAAGAUAAUGUUAAUAACUUUUCUAUCGCGCUCUAAUAUCUGUUUUCUCAUCGUGAAAAUAGAACAAUAACCUCGUGGAAAAAAUUGAUUAUUAAAAGUUAGCGUAGUAGAAACUUUCUUGUAAUAAUUCCUUUAUAUUCUUAACAUUAAAUAAUUCUAAUAGUAAUGAAAAUAUUAUACAGGAAUGAGAUAAACUUUCUUUGUAUAAAAAAAGAUUAUCUUCUGACAAAAAAUAUUUUAAUUUAAAAUUUUCUGAAUUAUAAAAAAUAUACAUAUAUAAUGAAAAUACGAAGAUGUUAUUUUCAAAAAUUAAUUUCGAGAUAAUCUACGUUAUUUAAUAAUUAUAAUUUAAUAAAAGAAAUUUUAUUAUAUGUCGAGGUUCUCAGAUUUUAGAAAUUUCCAUCAUUAUAACCAGAAGAUCAUAUAUAUGUAUAUAAAAGAGAUAAAAGUACAAACAAAUAAAUUAUAAUUAAAUUCAAUUUUGAUUAUAAUUCUACGCAACGAGAUUAAACUUCAUUAAAAUUUUACGAUCUAUUCUUUUACUCCUGUUAAUUUCUACUUCUUCAAAGAGAAUGAAAAAUUAUCAUAUGUAACUUUUAUGCGACAAAAAAAUGCUAUUAUAAUUAAAAAUCAUAAUAACUUCAUCUUCAAAUGAAAGCUAAUUUAUAAAGCCGAUCUUUAAUUAUCUUUUCCAAUUCCGAUCAAUCACGAUUCUUGUGAUCGAUAUCACUUUUACUAAAAAUAGCUCCAUUAUACGUAAAAAUAUAAACUUUUAUUCUCUCGUGGAAUCAACAAAUUACAUCACAUAAAAAGUUCCAAUUAUUGAUUCAAUUUAUAUCACACCUUCUUCGAUUCAACUCAAUCACAAUUAUUGUUCUUUUUCCCAUCGCAAUUAUAUUUUAAAUUUUAAAUCUUCGCAUCAAACUUUUCCACUACUUAAUCCUCAAAUCUUCAAUUUCCAAUCAAUCUCUUCAAUAAGAAUUCCCACCCGUCUCUCGACAAAUCAACAUCUUAAAUUCCUAAACAUACCACAAUUAAAUUUCGCGUUGAAUCCUUCACUUACUAAUAUCUUUCCAAUCAAACUUUUCUCACUACUUUGAUCUUCGAUUUCCACGAAAAAAGCUCCACUUUCGAUCGAUCUCUUCAAGCACAGAAAUCCUCUCAAACCCUCUUCUCCUUCGCAUCUCUCCAAUUCCCACACUCAUCUCUCAAACUUUUCAAACGCACCACAAUAAAACUUCACGCGAAUUCACAAUAUCUUUCUAACCACUGCUUCAAUUUUUACAAAAAAAAAAAAAAAAAGAAAA